GCAAGCUUGAGUCUCGUAGAGGGGGGUAGAAUUCCAGGUGUAGCGGUGAAAUGCGUAGAGAUCUGGAGGAAUACCGGUGGCGAAGGCGGCCCCCUGGACGAAGACUGACGCUCAGGUGCGAAAGCGUGGGGAGCAAACAGGAUUAGAUACCCUGGUAGUCCACGCCGUAAACGAUGUCGACUUGGAGGUUGUGCCCUUGAGGCGUGGCUUCCGGAGCUAACGCGUUAAGUCGACCGCCUGGGGAGUACGGCCGCAAGGUUAAAACUCAAAUGAAUUGACGGGGGCCCGCACAAGCGGUGGAGCAUGUGGUUUAAUUCGAUGCAACGCGAAGAACCUUACCUGGUCUUGACAUCCACGGAAGUUUUCAGAGAUGAGAAUGUGCCUUCGGGAACCGUGAGACAGGUGCUGCAUGGCUGUCGUCAGCUCGUGUUGUGAAAUGUUGGGUUAAGUCCCGCAACGAGCGCAACCCUUAUCCUUUGUUGCCAGCGGUCCGGCCGGGAACUCAAAGGAGACUGCCAGUGA
rnacentral:rRNA from 1 species